GCUUAUUUCCAGUGGAGUUCACUUUUGUCUUUCUUGGAUACUACUCUCCAGACCCUCUAAUUGCAUAUGCUGCUUUCUACGCCCCCAAGCCCGCUCCAACACAACCAAUUCAUAGUCUAGGCAUAGAAAUUAGUAGCUGACCUGCAGCGCACGAGUUUUACCCAUAAAAUGUGCGAUGGUUGGGGUUUGGUGACUGAUGGAAAAGUUCUUUUUGGCAGUGAUGGCACUUCAACCCUGUAUAAGCUGGAUCCAAAGUCACUUGAAGUCAUGAAAGUGGUGACUGUCAAGUAUCACGGUGAUGAAGUCCCCUACCUUAAUGAGCUGGAGUAUAUAGAUGGUGAAGUCUGGGCAAAUGUCGGGCAGGUUAGAUGUAGUUCCUCCUAGCUAACAUAUCUUAUCAUGAAGUAUCUUAGUGAAACUAUGUACUGCAUUUCGCAAGGACCACUAUAUCUUCCAUUAGUAUCUUAGUGGCGACUCCAGGAUGUUAGACCAAGUACGAAUGAGGUUUAAAGGCUUCUCCGAUUAUUAUUUCUAGGGUUGUGGACGCCCGUGUAUGGCUGCUAGGCGGCCAGGGAUGCCGCCGCUGCUGGCCGAGGACUGGCCAGGGCUAGAGCCGCCUACUCUUUGGAAACGAAGGCAGGAAACGCAAGAUCGCAGAGCUGACGCGGUGGUCCUCGACGGCUUCAAGGACGGGCGAGCAACGAGGGCGACGAGCAAUGUCCUGGCAACGCAGGAUCACUGAGGGGGUUUGAUGUGCAAGUACCUGGCAACGUAGGAUCGCGCAGGGCUGAUGGGCGAGGUCGUGUGAGGUGCGAGGUGCGAGUACCUGGCAACGCAGGAUCGCGCAGGGCUGAUGUCGUGGUCCUCGACGGCUUCAAGGACAGGCGAGCGAGGGCGAGGAAGGAUGGUCGACGGUGAGGUCGGGUGAGGGCGACGGUGAGGUCGGUCGAGGGCGUGUUCAGGGAACUGGCAACGCAGGAUCGGAAAGGAUGUUUUGUUUCCUUUACGAGGGACCGAAAUUUUUCAUAUCAGGAAUCCUGUAUUUUUCCAUAUUUUAUUUCGCACCCUUCCACGUCCCUGUUUAUAUAUUAUUCUCUAUUGUAAAUUUACAUUAGGAAUCCUUUCUUGUUUUUUUAUUCAAUUUUCACCCUUCCACCUCC